rnacentral:rRNA from 1 species
GACGAACGCUGGCGGCGUGCCUAAUACAUGCAAGUAGAACGCUGAAGAGAGGAGCUUGCUCUUCUUGGAUGAGUUGCGAACGGGUGAGUAACGCGUAGGUAACCUGCCUUGUAGCGGGGGAUAACUAUUGGAAACGAUAGCUAAUACCGCAUAACAAUGGAUGACACAUGUCAUUUAUUUGAAAGGGGCAAUUGCUCCACUACAAGAUGGACCUGCGUUGUAUUAGCUAGUAGGUGAGGUAAUGGCUCACCUAGGCGACGAUACAUAGCCGACCUGAGAGGGUGAUCGGCCACACUGGGACUGAGACACGGCCCAGACUCCUAAGGGAGGCAGCAGUAGGGAAUCUUCGGCAAUGGGGGCAACCCUGACCGAGCAACGCCGCGUGAGUGAAGAAGGUUGUCGGAUCGUAAAGCUCUGUUGUAAGUCAAGAACGGGUGUGAGAGUGGAAAGUUCACACUGUGACGGUAGCUUACCAGAAAGGGACGGCUAACUACGUG